CGCAAACCUGUAUAGGCUGUCAAUGGGCCGGGCUGGCCUGAGCAGCCUGAAGACCUGACCUUGAAAAAACCAGGAUCAGGCUGGAAAUUUAGGUCAAAAGUCCAAUUUAGCCAAUUUUUAGCAAGCCUGGUUAAUUUUGGCCUGCCCCAGGUUGGGGCUUUGACAGAAAAAUGAAUAGGGGCCUCUUUCGAGCCCUUCCCAGCCCAAAAGUUUACUGGUUCACGUUGGGCUGGGGCCUGGUACCCUUAGGCCAGGCUUGGGUCUCAAGUUUAUAACCUGUGUUUGUUUCGGGUCUAGGCCCGACCCUACCCAUUGACACGCUGAAAUCAGUAUCUUGUAUUGAAGAUGCUGCAUCUGCUGUGAGUUUUAUCUCACUCUUGUUCCUGCUCAUGCACAUUCUCCAUUAUGCUUCAACUCCUUCAUUAGUCACUCACCAGCGUUAGUUAUACUCAGACUUUGUAUUAUGUUGUCUUAUUUCAGUCAGCUACUAGGUUCUUUAAAAUUUAACCACCAUGUCAGUUUGCUUAGACAAUUCUGCAGUAUAGUUGCUUUCGAGCUUUCUCUGGAGCACCACUUUCCAAUUUUCACACGCACUUGACCCCCACUGCUACUGAUGCAAGUUACCCACUUCCAAGAUACAAAUCUUCGAUUUAGGAAAGGUUCGAUGGUGAAAUAUCCAAACAACUGCUGAAUGCUGAUUAUGCCCAUAACGAGAUCCAUAAUGCCACUCUUGAUGAGCCAUUUUUCAUGCUACUCUUCCAACUUGCUGUGGAGUAUGAGAGCAAUGCACUGUUUGUCAAGGUGGACACUGAUGAUGAAUAUGAAUUUGCACGAGCAGGUUCGGGGACUACCAACAUUGUAUUUUAUCAGCCGAGAUCCAAACAAGGAUGCAAUUCGAACUGAGGGGCUUCUCCCAUCAGAGAUGAUUAAAAACAUCAUUGAUAAUGAAAUGCGAGAAGAAUAUCUUGAAGGCUUGUUGGUGUUGUAGCUGUUUUCACCUUGGAGUUGUAUGAUGGUCAUCUCUGCUUAAAGAUCAUUUUCAUGCUAUUGUGGUGAUACAGUAGGUGCAACUCCAGAACUACUUUUAUGACCUAAGGUGACCUGGCAUCCUCAAUAUAUGUAGUAGAGAUUAAUAAGCCUGUUCUUUUAGUGAUUUUUUUCCCUCGAACUACAGUCAGGUGAAAUGGUAAAUAAAAAAAUGUGGUGAAACCAGCUACAGCUUAGAAGACUAUUAGUGCUAUGAGAUUCUGUAAUGGCUCAAUCGAUGAAGAAAGCCAUGGUAAUGGACAAAGAUACAGGAUGCGGCUUUUGUCCUUUGACUAGAGCAUUGUGCAUGUUCUGUUGUAUUUAACUGUUUUUUUAUUGGUUUAUUCUUGAAGAUUCGAAACAGCUGAUGUACAUCCCAACUAAGAUGAGAGACAAUAAUUUCUAUAUAAUGCCGAUCCAGGCUUGACCA